CAUUAUGAAGCUAAGUAGCGUUAACCUUUUAAGUUAAAGAUUAGGAACUCAAAUUUCCUCAUAAUGA
rnacentral:tRNA from 1 species